GGUUACUCGCCCGUGGAUUUGGCUGGCGUACCCGUAACUGGUAUGAACCCUCUGUGUCCUUAUUUAAUGUGGAUCCUCAGUAUCUUGUGCAGGAUACAGAUGAAUUUAUUUUACCAACUGGAGCUAAUAAAACCCGGGGCAGAUUUGAACUAGCCUUCUUUGCCAUAGGAGGAUGUUGCAUGACAGGGGCUGCAUUUGGGGCUAUGAAUAACCUACAACUGGAAUUGAAGGAAACCCAGAACAUGACCUGGUCCAAACCAAGAAAUGUACAGAUUUUUAAUAUGGUGACUAGACAAGAGGCACUUUGGGCUAAUACUCUAGGUUCUCUGGCCUUGCUCUAUAGUGCUUUUGGUGUGGUCAUUGAGAAAACGCGAGGUGCAAAAGAUGACCUUAAUACAGUAGCAGCCGGAACCAUGACAAGCAUGUUGUAUAAAUGCACAGGUAGUCUUGGGGGGGGAGGGGCACGCGGGGGUUCUACGAGGGUAACCUUAUCCGAUACUCCUGAAGCCACAGGAAAUCUGAGAGUCAUAGUUGUCUAUGAGAAAUUGGAUGGGGUACCUAAUGGGUGUCCACAGCUUAGGAAAUAG